GGCUGGUUAGCUCAACUGGUCAGAGUGUGGUGCUGGUAACCCUGAGGUCAUGGGUUCAAGCCCCAUACUGGCCA